GUAAUCACUUGUCCCCUAAAUAGGGACCAGUAUGAACGGCUAAAUGAGGGCCUAACUGUCUCCUUUGGCCAAUCAAUGAAACUGAUCUUCCAGUAAAAAAGCUGGAAUAAACCCAUAAGACGAGAAGACCCUGUGGAGCUUUAAAUUAAUACACUACUAUACAAAACCCCCGCCUCAUGGCGCUCCAAGAAAAACAAUAGUGUAAAUUUUAAGUUGGGGCAACUACGGAAUAAAAUAAACCUUCCAUGAAAUAGGAUAAAACAUCCACUAAAGGUUUACAAACCAAAAAUACUUUAAACAAAUGACCCAGUAACACUGAUCACCGAACCAAGUUACCCCAGGGAUAACAGCGCCAUCCUCUUCUAGAGUUCCAAUCGCCAAGAGGGUUUACGACCUCGAUGUUGGAUCAGGGCCCCCAGGCGGUGCAGCCGCUGCUAAUGGUUCGUUUGUUCAACGACUAACGCCCUACGUGAUCU
rnacentral:rRNA from 1 species